rnacentral:lncRNA from 1 species
GAUUUUGAUCAUGGCCAGGCAUAGAAAUUUUACCACUUCGAAUGGUUAUAAUUUCUUACAAACUCCAUUAGAGUUGCAAUUAAAAUUUAUCGUCUUCGCUUGUAUUUAAAAUCAAAUUAUAGAAUAUCAAGAAUUUGAAUGAAAAAAGUAAAUUACUUACCUUAAAUCCAGAAUUUAAUCAUGAAGGAAGAUCAAUCCCAA